AAUAUUGCACAAUGGGGGAAACCCUGAUUCAGCCAUCCCGCGUGUGCGAUGAAGGCCUUCGGGUUGUAAAGCAUUCUUGGCAGGGAAGAAAAGGCUCUGGCUAAUACCUGGAGCUGCUGACUGUACCUUCACAAUAAGCACCGGCUAACCACGUGCCAGCAGCCGCGGUAAUACGUAGGGUGCAAGCGUUAAUCGGAAUUACUGGGAGUAAAGCGUGCGCAGGCGGUUCGGCAAGAAGGAUGUGAAAUCCCAGGGCUUAACCUUGGAACUGCAUUCUUAACUGCCGGGCUAGAGUAUGUCAGAGGGGGGUAGAAUUCCGCGUGUAGCAGUGAAAUGCGUAGAGAUGCGGAGGAAUACCGAUGGCGAAGGCAGCCCCCUGGGAUAAUACUGACGCUCAUGCACGAAAGCGUGGGGAGCAAAC
rnacentral:rRNA from 1 species